rnacentral:rRNA from 1 species
CCUACGGGUGGCUGCAGUCGAGAAUCAUUCACAAUGGGGGAAACCCUGAUGGUGCGACGCCGCGUGGGGGAAUGAAGGUCUUCGGAUUGUAAACCCCUGUCAUGUGGGAGCAAAUUAAAAAGAUAGUACCACAAGAGGAAGAGACGGCUAACUCUGUGCCAGCAGCCGCGGUAAUACAGAGGUCUCAAGCGUUGUUCGGAAUCACUGGGCGUAAGGCGUGCGUAGGCUGUUUCGUAAGUCGUGUGUGUAAGGCGCGGGCUCAACCCGCGGACGGCACAUGAUACUGCGAGACUAGAGUAAUGGAGGGGGAACCGGAAUUCUCGGUGUAGCAGUGAAAUGCGUAGAUAUCGAGAGGAACACUCGUGGCGAAGGCGGGUUCCUGGACAUUAACUGACGCUGAGGCACGAAGGCCAGGGGAGCGAAAGGGAUUAGAUACCCCGGUAGUC